rnacentral:rRNA from 1 species
UACGUAGGGUGCGAGCGUUAAUCGGAAUUACUGGGCGUAAAGCGUGCGCAGGCGGUUUUGUAAGCCAGAUGUGAAAUCCCCGGGCUCAACCUGGGAAUGGCAUUUGGGACUGCAAGGCUUGAGUGCGGCAGAGGAGACUGGAAUUCCUGGUGUAGGCAGUGAAAAUGCGUAGAUAUCAAGGAGGAUACCGAUGGCGAAGGC